GACGAACGGCCUGGGCGGCGAUGCCUAAUACAUGCAAGUCGAACGCGGCCAUCCGGUGCUUGCACUGGUGAAGCCGAGUGGCGAACGGGUGAGUAACACGUGAGAAACCUGCCCUGGAGUGGGGAAUAACUCGAAGAAAUUCGAGCUAAUACCGCAUACCUUCUCUUCACCGCAUGGUGAGUUGAAGAAAGAUUUAUCGCUCUAGGAGGGUCUCGCGGCCUAUCAGCUAGUUGGUGAGGUAAUGGCUCACCAAGGCAUCGACGGGUAGCUGGUCUGAGAGGACGAUCAGCCACACUGGGACUGAGACACGGCCCAGACUCCUACGGGAGGCAGCAGUAGGGAAUCUUGCGCAAUGGGCGAAAGCCUGACGCAGCAAUGCCGCGUGCGGGAUGAAGGCCCUACGGGUUGUAAACCGCUUUUCCCCGGGAAGAAUAAGCCCCCCCGCGGGGGGUGAUGCCGGUACCGGGGGAAUAAGGAUCGGCUAACUCCGUG
rnacentral:rRNA from 1 species